rnacentral:rRNA from 1 species
GACGAACGCUGGCGGCGUGCCUAAUACAUGCAAGUCGAGCGGACGAAUCGAAAGCUUGCUUUUGAUUCGUUAGCGGCGGACGGGUGAGUAACACGUGAGCAACCUGCCCUGUAGACGGGGAUAACACCGAGAAAUCGGUGCUAAUACCGGAUAACACGAAAUGUCGCAUGACGUUUCGUUGAAAGACGGCGCAAGCUGCCGCUACAGGAUGGGCCCGCGGCGCAUUAGCUAGUUGGUGAGGUAACGGCUCACCAAGGCGACGAUACGUAGCCGACCUGAGAGGGUGAUCGGCAACACUGGGACUGAGACACGGCCCAGACUCCUACGGGAGGCAGCAGUAGGGAAUCUUCCGCAAAGGACGAAAGUCUGACGGAGCAACGCCGCGUGAGCGAAGAAGGCCUUCGGGUCGUAAAGCUCUGUUGUUAGGGAAGAACAAGUAACGCAGUAACUGGCGUUACCGUGACGGUACCUAACGAGAAAGCCACGGCUAACUACGUG